CGGCCUGAGGUCGGACGAGGCUACCCGCUGAAUUUAAGCAUAUUACUAAGCGGAGGAAAAGAAACUAACGAGGAUUCCCUCAGUAACGGCGAGUGAAGCGGGACGAGCCCAGCGCCGAAUCGGCCGCCUAUGGAGCGGACGGAAU
rnacentral:ncRNA from 1 species